rnacentral:rRNA from 1 species
ACAGAGGGUGCGAGCGUUAAUCGGAAUUACUGGGCGUAAAGCGCACGUAGGUGGUUUUGUAAGUCGGAUGUGAAAUCCCCGGGCUCAACCCGGGAACUGCAUUCGAGACUGCAUUACUCGAGUAUGGGAGAGGGAAGCGGAAUUUCCGGUGUAGCGGUGAAAUGCGUAGAUAUCGGGAGGAACACCUGUGGCGAAAGCGGCUCACUGGACCACAACUGACGCUGAUGCGCGAAAGCUAGGGGAGCAAACAGGA